ensembl:lncRNA
AAGAAACUGGAUAGGAAAGAAGAGGAGAGAAGAAAAGUAGAAGUGGAUAGGGAGUUAACUGCCUGCAGGUCUAGAGACAUCCAUCCCUCCAGCUCCCUCCAGUGAAACACAGCCUGCAGGUCUAGAGACAUCCAUCCCUCCAGCUCCCUCCAGUGAAACACAGCCUGCUGAAGGAUAGAAUACACGUGCACUCCAAAUUUAGAGGCGGCUGGCUUGACCACAGGUGUAGAAAGGUCGGAUCGUGUGGAAAACCUCAAGCCAACCAAACCAGAGUUCACUUGGAAGCGGACAUAGAACCCCGUUUUCCAUCAUCGUUGGCUUUAUUGGACCAAACUAGCGUUCAAAAGACACUCCGCCCCGAAGGAGAGGCAGCGCCAGGGGCAACGCUCCAGGGUUCGAUUUAACCGGACCAAACAGCUCCGGUGUGGAAGCAACCUUCUACUACUUUAAUCCUCGUUUGACAACGAUAAUGGCAGCCAUAUCCCUACACUGUUUCAGUCUGGUUGUGUGUCUCUGGAUGUGUGUUUUUUAAAUUGUUGUAUGUUAAAUGUUACAUUUUAUUGUCAUAUUGUUUUAGAGUUUUAUGUUAUUUUUGUUAUAUGUAUGACGUCUACUGCGUAGAUGAAUGAUGCUUGCCAAGUCGUAAGAAUUUUGCUGUGCUGAAGCAAUUUGGUACAUGCAACAAUAAACACACUUUGACUUUGACUUUGACUUUGUGUCUGACACUGGUUGUGUGUCCCUUGUGUGCUUCUUGUUUUUUGUCUGUAGUUUUGUGGGGUGGUUGUGUUACUGGUUUUGUUUAUGGUUGUGUGUCCCUGGUUGUGUGGAGUGGUAGUGUGUCUCUGGUAUGCGGUUGUGUGUUUGUUUCUGGGUGUGUGUCUGGUUGUGUUUCGUCUGAUUAUGUAUGUGUCUGGUUGUGUGUGUGUGUGUGUGUGUGUGUGGUUGUGUCCUCAUCUCCACCUGAGAGUACCCAGCUGCAGAGCUGCUCCACUGGGCUUCAGUCUUCCGUGAGUGUUGCUGCAUGUGGAGGCUGGCUGUAUGUCCUGACUCUCUGCUGCUCUUCUCUUCCAG